rnacentral:rRNA from 1 species
UACGAAGGGGGCUAGCGUUGUUCGGAAUUACUUGGCGUAAAGCGCACGUAGGCGGAUAUUUAAGUCAGGGGUGAAAUCCCAGAGCUCAACUCUGGAACUGCCUUUGAUACUGGGUAUCUCGAGUAUGGAAGAGGUGAGUGGAAUUCCGAGUGUAGAGGUGAAAUUCGUAGAUAUUCGGAGGAACACCAGUGGCGAAGGCGGCUCACUGGUCCAUUACUGACGCUGAGGUGCGAAAGCGUGGGGAGCAAACAGG